UGAUGGCAAAGGUGCGCUGCGGCCGGCGC
rnacentral:sRNA from 1 species